AUGUCCUUACUACCUUUCUGGUCCUUGAACGUGGUAGUUGCGUUGCUGUCUAUGGAGGGUCAAAGGGCUCUCGGAUUUCAUCAAAAAUAUCUUAAUUUGUGUUCCAAAGGUCUUACAGGUUUGGAACAACAUGAGGUCUCAUGGACAUGUUGUGGACAAGAAUCUUGGAUUCCUGCACAUUUACACAUGGACCUUCAGCGCUGAUGUACCAAAGCUUCUCUAGAUCAUUGCACAGAGGAAGAUGGAAACGGGAGGCUGUUUUAUUUAUUAAUGAGUCCUCGCAUUAGACGCUCUCCACUCUUGAGGCAGUUUUAUUUUUGAACAACAUUUAUCUGGUGUUAUGUAAUAUGCCAUGCAUGUCACCAUCAAAGUCAGGAUGUCAAACUAGAGAAUAUGUGGUUAACUGGCUGUGUCAAUUAAUCUAUCAAAGAGCACCAUGCUCUCACAGUAUGAUGUUUAUAUCAAGAAGACAUUGAUCUAUCAGGUCCAACAGGUUUAGAAGGUCUGAGUUACAACUGUAAAUAGUUGUAAUUAUUUUUAUUAUUAUUGUUAUUAUUAUUAGAAGAAGAAGGUUGUUUUGAUGCUCAUUCAUUUUAGGUUAAGGAUUGUGAAGUAAGGAAAAAUGCCUGAUUUCGAUGCUGAACAUGAUCUUGGAGGUCUAUUUCUAAUCUCUCAAACUGCAGUCUUUGCCAGUUUAGCAUCCCAUGAGCACCGGCUCCCCACUGAGGCAGAUCAUUCUCUGAGUUAGCAUUUCCCACCCAGCUCCCCCCUCCACCUGGACCCAGAUAACACUCAAUAAUUCAUAUCACUGCUUGCUGAACAGACUGCCAUCCUGCUGAGUGAUAGCAGGUCGUCCAACCCCCAGACCAGUCCCCCGGUCGCAAGACUCCCACCCCAGCUGUGUGCCUCAGGCCCAUCCCCACCAACCCUGAAGGACCAGAGGCAUCUCCAGUUGCACUUGGAUGCCACCCGUGUUGUAGAAUAGAGACAUUCCUAUUAGUAAAAAAGAAAGAUAUUCUUUAAACUUUUUGGUUGUUGUCUUGUCAGAACACUACAUGUUAAUUCAUUUUUUCUUCUAACUUGAAAAGGGUGAAUAUUAAUUGAUUGUUUUUGUGUGUGUGUGUUCACCUCAGCAAGCAGCUGUGAUUUUACACUUGCAUUUAUUUACACAACCUUUAAUUUAUAAUUUUUUUUAUAUAACAAACAUUAAAAUAAUAUUUUUUUUAAUUUUUAAUCAUUUUUUUAAUUUAAUUUUUUUUUUACUUUAAGUAUUAAAAAUACAAUUAUUGUAAAUUAUUUUAUUUAAAAAUUAUUUUAAAUAUUAUUGUUAAUGAUAAGC
ensembl:lncRNA